UACGUAGGCAGCGAGCGUUGUUCGGAGUUACUGGGCGUAAAGCGCACGUAGGCGGAUACUUAAGUCAGGGGUGAAAUCCCGGGGCUCAACCCCGGAACUGCCUUUGAUACUGGGUAUCUCGAGUCCGGAAGAGGUGAGUGGAAUUCCGAGUGUAGAGGUGAAAUUCGUAGAUAUUCGGAGGAACACCAGUGGCGAAGGCGGCUCACUGGUCCGGUACUGACGCUGAGGUGCGAAAGCGUGGGGGAGCAAACAGG
rnacentral:rRNA from 1 species